GCGUUGUCCGGAUUUACUGGGCGUAAAGAGCGCGCAGGCGGUCGUAUAAGUCGCGUGUGAAAGCCCCCGGCUCAACUGGGGAGGGUCACGCGAUACUGUUCGACUCGAAGGCAGGAGAGGGAAGUGGAAUUCCCGGUGUAGUGGUGAAAUGCGUAGAUAUCGGGAGGAACACCAGUGGCGAAGGCGACUUCCUGGCAUGUUAUUGACGCUGAGGCGCGAAAGCUAG
rnacentral:rRNA from 1 species